CACUGCACUCCAGCCUGGGCAACAGAGUGAAACUUUGUACCCCCCGCCCCCACACCAAAAGAAAUAGUUGGGAUUAUCUCUGGAACUCUGCUGCUGUCUUUGAGCUUCCAAGGAUGGAGGUAGGAUUUGGAACCACUGAUAAGACCUUCCCUAGAUUUUAUAGAGAAAACUGCUGUUCAGGGAGGGGACAUAACUAGGAAUCUGACACCUGCUUAGAGAAACCUCUGAUCCUUCCCUGUGUCCUUCAGAGUGAUUUGAUGCCAAGAAGGUGUUUAUCAUGCCUGGUGACCACAUUGAUGGCCUCUGCCUCUUUCUCCCCAACAUAGUUUCUACCCAGAGCCUGGAGCAUAGAUAGUAAAUAAUCAGGAAAUAGUUGCUGGGUUGAUGAUUGAAUGAAUAGGUGGAGAGACGCAUGGAUGCCCAGAUUUUGCUCCUCUUUGAAGCCUGAGCGGCUUCUUUGGUUUUGUACUUUUCUCCCUCUCCUUGCCCACAGGACAGCUGCUCAACAUGUGGGCUCUGUACCCAGUAGGUGACUAAUAAAUAUGAGCAUCCUAUAGGCAGUUUGCCUGGAUGGCAACUGAUUGACCUAAGGUCAGCCCUCAGCCAGCUGCUGGGAAUGCAUGCUCCAGGAUCCCCUGAAACAACAUGUACGGUGGGAGAGGGUAAUAGGUGAGAGUGACCAGAUGGGUAUCAGAGGCCUAGGUACCAGGCCAGAAGACCGGGCCACGCCCAAACUCUGCACCUUCUUGCCCUAUCAUGUGCACACUAAGGAACUCUGCAUUUAAAAUGUCAGAGGUUCCAAGCCCUCACUUUACAAAGGAGGAGGUACCAUGGCCCAGAGAAGGAAAAGAACCAUCCCAGGGUCUCUCAGUAAACCUGAUAGCUAAGCCACCUGCUCCUAACCCACUACUACCUCCCAGCUCUCUCUUCAUUGAUCCCAGUGUGGCAGCAUUCAGGUGUGGCAGCUCUGGCCCCAUAUACUGUCCUCAGACUGGAAGGCAGGAGGGAGCACCCAGGUGAGGCUCACAUCCCUGUCCCCUUCCCUGUCCAGUGGCUCCAGCCAUCCCACAGUCUCCAGAAUGGGUCAGUGGAAUGAACACAAGAUUUGGAGGAAAGACCUGGCCCAGUGACCUUGGGUAGGCCUGCCCUCUCUGUAAACCUCAGUUUUUCCAGGUAUCAGAUGGGAAUGUUGAUCCCAUCCUUACCAACUUCUACAGUGACUGACAGGAUCCAAGGAGGAUGCAAAGAGGAAGGAGCUUUGCUGUUCCCUGAGUUUUUUUGUACUGUAUCACCCUUCUUAUGAUGAUGAUGUGAGAUGUUAAAGUGCCUGCUUGAUGAGGUGAAGUGAGAGACAGGAUCUUGCCCAGGCUGGAGUGCAGUGGCUAUUCACAAGUGCAAUCGUAGUGCACUACAGUCUUGGACUCCUGGCCUCAAGCAAUCCCACCUGUUUCCUGAGUAGCUGGACUAUAGGUUCCCUGACCUCCCUGGACCUCAGUUUCCAAAUCUGCUGAUGGAGGAUGAUGUUUUCAGUGCCUACACAGCUCCCAAAGUGAAGAUGAUAUGGAAACUGGGUGGUGUCGAGGACGGUCACACAGAGCCAAGGAGCAGAAAUGCUUGCCCUGCUUCUGCCAUGGUCUUCACAGUGAGAGACAGGCAGCUAUGCCCCUGAAUUCUCCAGGACCUGCCAAGUUGGGCCAUUUCAGAGAGGAGAAACUGAGACUCGGAGCUAUGUAAUCAGCAUACUGGAGCAUAGAAAGCAGAGACAGGCAGAAGGCAAGAACUCAGAGAUGGGAAAGGAAUCCUGACCCACCCAGAUUGGCAAAGCCAUUGCAGACCCAUGGUUCUGGGGUUUUCCUGUUGGCUCGCAAAGUGAUAUCAAGUCAGAGGUAUUGUUUUCCCUUGUCUCUGCCAUUGAUAAGACAGAGAAAAACAGCUCCCAUGAUAACAUUGAUGCUGCCAGCCCUUCCUGCUACUGGCUUUCCUGGUUGGAGUCCUCUCCUAUGCUCCUUCCUCUCUCUCCUUCCGGACUGAGAUUCAAGCCGAGAUGCCUUGUGGGGCAAAGGAGCCGGCGGUGAGGUUCCCUCCUUCAGUUGCUUCAGCAGGCACAUAGCUCCUUCUGAUCUUGGACAAAGCCCAAAAGGCUCUGAGGCAGUGGUGUGCUGGGGCAGGCUCAUACUGACUCAUUAGAGCCAAUUGCUAAAUUUCGGGGAAUCUUGUAAGCCAAUUGUUAAACACAGUCAUUAUUAAAAAUUAGAUGAUAUGAGAUUGCAACUAAAUAAUUUAUACUUUUUUAAAAGUAAUAAACACUCCUAACUCAUCAUGUCCUAUUUACUUUAUUGCAUUUUACU
rnacentral:lncRNA from 1 species